GCCGCUGUAGCUCAGGGGUAGAGCAGGUCUUUCGUAAAGACAAGGUCGGGAGUUCAAAUCUCUCCAGCGGCACCA
rnacentral:tRNA from 1 species